rnacentral:tRNA from 1 species
GCCGGAGUGGCGGAAUGGCAGACGCACUGGACUUAAAAUCCAGUGGGGAGCAAUCCCCGUGCCGGUUCGAGUCCGGCCUCCGGCA